CUGGCUCAGGAUGAACGCUAGCUACAGGCUUAACACAUGCAAGUCGCGGGGCAGCAUGUUGGUUGCUUGCAACCAAUGAUGGCGACCGGCGCACGGGUGAGUAACGCGUAUCCAACCUUCCCCUUAGUAGAGGAUAGCCCGGCAAAAGUCGGAUUAAUACUCUAUGUUCUUCAAUGCGGGCAUCUAAGUUGAAGCAAAGAUUUAUCGCUAAGGGAUGGGGAUGCGUCUGAUUAGGUUGCAGGCGGAGUAACGGCCCACCUGGCCUACGAUCAGUAGGGGUUCUGAGAGGAAGGUCCCCCACACUGGUACUGAGACACGGACCAGACUCCUACGGGAGGCAGCAGUGAGGAAUAUUGGUCAAUGGGCGCGAGCCUGAACCAGCCAAGUAGCGUGCAAGGACGACUGCCCUAUGGGUUGUAAACUGCUUUUAUCAGGGAAUAAAGUGAGGCACGCGUGCCUUUCUGUAUGUACCUGAUGAAUAAGGACCGGCUAAUUCCGUGCCAGCCGCGGC
rnacentral:rRNA from 1 species